GACAGAGGUGCCGAGCGUUAGGCGGAAUCACUGGGCUUAAAGCGUGUGUAGGCGGGCGAUCAAGUACCUUGUGAAAUCCCACGGCUCAACCGUGGAACCGCUGGGUAUACUGGUUGUCUUGAGCCGGCUAGGGGCGAGCGGAACAGACGGUGGAGCGGUGAAAUGCGUAGAGAUCCGGAAGAACACCGGUGGCGAAGGCGGCCUGCUGGGCUAUGGCUGACACUGAGGCGCGACAGCGUGGGGAGCAAACAGG
rnacentral:rRNA from 1 species